CAUUUUCAGCAAAAUUAAACUUGGAAAGUUGCUUGCUAACUUAUACAUGAGCUAUUUAUUGAAAUAGUCAAAAACACUUUAUGCAAGCUGCCAAAGUUCAAAGUCAACUGCCAUUUUGGCCUUUAAUAGAAAUGGGUUGAGAAAGGGUAUAUUUAACCUAUUUUCUGUAAAAUUUGUGCCAUUCUUUAAACAUGGUUAUCAAAAUAAUAAUAAAUGCUUUAAUCACGAUCCACUUUAAAUCAAAAUCAACUUAUUUCGCAUUUUAUCCUUCAGCUGCUGUAGUUGCUGGUUCCACUUUUAAUAAGGUUGUAUCUUGAGUCUGAUUUCUGCGUGCAAUAACAAAUUCGUUGAUAAAGUUACAGCUGACAUUUUUCUGCUUCCAGCCUGGUGUCUCUAUUUUCUCUGCGUGCAGCCAUCCAUACGCAACGGUAUCAUUCGUCUUUUGUUUACAGCCGACCAGACUGAACGAUCGAUGGUUCUGGCCCAGACUAAAGUUUUCAUCGCUCCAUUCGCUCGGUUCCCCCCGUUGUCGUCCAGUCCAGACGCUUAGCGGAGGUAGUUGGCCAGUCGAUGGAUCCGGCUGUUGGCAACGCAGAGUUACAUUGAGGAGGAUUGAUUCUGACGAGGACACGAACAUUUCUACGACGGAUUCGGGCUGGAAGUGCCACUCGUCGAACGUGUUGAACGGGCUGUGUCCGAAGUUGUCCGGAAUCCAAUGGAUUACUCGGCCGUAGAAUUGUUUGGCUUGGAAGGGUUCAAAUGGUGUAUAGCUCCCGUUUCUAACUUCACCGGCCACGCGAUGGGAUAGCAGCAGAAGGUUGAUUAGGGUCUGGGAAAAACACGCAGCAAAUUCUAACAUGGCCAGAUAUAAAAGAAAUUGUCUAGAUGAUAACUUUCUCGAAGAGACCUGGUCGAUUCGUUCCCCCUCAUCGGGCUCAACGGCAAUACAUACAAGGUCGUCGGAAUCAACGGUUAUCCCCUGAAUACGCAGUACCAACUAUUGGGCAACAAAUCACUCAAAUUUGACUAAAAUGAGACAGCAGAACUUGAAUUUGUGAUUAAAAACAAAAAGUGUGAUUUCCCGACCAAUAAAUAAAAUUGUAAAUUUCGGGACUAAAGGGAAUUAAAAAAGUCUGAUUAGUUUUUUUGUGGAUGAAAAAAAAAUAACUUUAUACAUUGUCACCCAAUAGUUAAAAAUCAAUUUGAAGUACAACCAAUGUCACCGUCUUCCUGUGGGCCAAUCUUUAUGCUCAAUUUUCUGUAAUAGUUUAAAAAUAGUUGAACUUUUAGAAAACUUUUGCGAGUUUUGCGUAUGACAUUGAACGCUGACUUCGUUUCACCGUGAACCAAUAAUGGAGUUUUGACGUUGGUCGGCCAUUCUGGUUAGCGCCAGUUUUCCUGCUUACGUGAAAACCGGCUUGGUUUUUGCUUUGUCACGUUUAAGUUGGCCGCCGAGGUGUCAAAGCACUGCUGACUGUGACGGGCCAAAAAUAGGAAAAUAUCUUCUCCUCGGUUGAGGAAAACAAGAAAACCACACAAAAAUGACGCGUGAAUAUGGCUUUAAAAACAACAAUCAAAGAUGUGAAGAAAUGAAAAUGAACAAUUUUUGAUAAUAAAUAAGUUUAUUCCUGACACCGAAAUAACAGCACAAUUGUUUUCGCACUUAAAACGACCGAUCAUCAAAUAUCUUUUUUCUUGAGAAUCUUAAGA